CUUGCAUUUGCACGCACUGGAGCAAAUAGCACUGAAGUGAAAAAAAAAUCGCACUCACCCACUGCUCCGUACAUCUGCUCCAACGCCGGCGACCAGACCGCGGCUCCAUGACCGGAGACCAACCCCGGCGGUGCUUCUUCUCCCCCACCCCGUCCCCCAUCCCUGCAACACCCUGAUCCCUCCUCUGAGCUCCAGCUCUCCCCCAUCUCGCAUCCCGUGUGACCGACGCCUCCACAUCAAUGACCACCUCCGGCCGGUGACCCGCGACUGGGAGGUGCUCGAGUUCUUCAGAGGCGGAAGCGGAGGCGUGGAUCACCCAGCUUGCCCCCGCUCGCAUGUCCCUCGAGUCAGCCGUCGCUGAGCGCCUACAGCUCGCGCUCGCCGUCCUCCUCCGCUGAUAUCUCCUCCCGUACAUGGAUAGUUGUCGAGCUCAGUCGCCGCUUCCAGGGCCAGGCCCUCUCAUCACGCCUGAAGGGAGGGAAGAGCAAGCAGCAAACCAGGUGAGGAACCAAAGAGCAGGCAGAAGAAAACAUAAAUCAGUGAACUACGUUUCAAGGGUGUCUGGGUGACUCCCGAUUGUCCAACAGAUGGUGUAUGCCAUAUUGCGAAUGUUGGAAAAUAUUUUCAAGACUUGGAAUGCUGGAAUUCUUGGUCCAGUGAGACUUUAUGGCCAGAAUGAGGGAAGAAGAGAUCUCACAUGGCAGAAAUGAACUUAUGAGGUAGUAAUGCUGAUGGGCCAUGCAGCAUGUCAAUCUCUAUCAGGCAUGCCAUGCAACUCCAAGUUAAGGCAGAGAUGUUGAUUUUGUGCGAGGACAUGACCAGUGACCACCGGCCUAAAAUAUUCAAGAAGAUCGAGGAGAUUCCGAAUGUGAAGGAAAGGUGGUUCAAUUGGACAACACUGAGGGGAAUUAGCUUCAUCUAUCAUUCAUUCAACAAGAUAACUUGUUACGUACAAAUUGUCAGUAUGAUUAAAUGGGAUGUGAGGCAGCCUCCUUGGAGCAGCUGGAGUUGGAGGAGCAGCUGCCGACGGCAGGUGCUGGGCGGCGUCCUCGAUGGUGUCGGCGGUGACGUCUUGUUGGUGAUGAUCCGCGAUGGUAUCCUUCGUGAAGGACUUGCUGGCGACGGUUGGCGGCAACUACGGUCUAGCUAUUGACCAUGGUGAGUUGAUGGACAUGGAGCAGUUCGAGUUGGCAUGUGUAGGGCGACGGCGCUGUCGCUAGUCCGUGGUGCCGAAGGUCGCGAGGGCGCUGGGAGGCGACGGUCGUGCGGAUGAAGAUCGGCGAGGGGACGAAGGUCGGCCGGGGAGCUGCGAGGCGACAGUCGUGCGGGUGAAGAUUGGCGAGGGGACGAAGGUCGGCCGGGGAGCUGCGAGGCGACGGUCGUGCGGGAUGAAGGUGGGCAUGUUUUGGUAACGGUUUUAUUUGGAGAUGCGUUAGUGGAGAUUCGUCCGGACUGUUCAAUUAACGUAACGAUUGGAGAUGGUUGUCCGUCCGGGCUGAUCUAGACCAUACGACCUGUUUUGGUUGGUUCUGAUUUAAUGGAUCUGCCCCCUUCUGGGACCUUUUAUAUUAGUGGAGAUGGAGAUGGAGAUGAACUGCACCGGAUCAGAACUUCAAUGUAUGAUUAACAAAUUAUUUGUUAGAGGUCUGCAUUCUAGAUGCCCAUUUUCUUACAAAA